GUUGUAUGGUUAAGUAACUAAGCGUACACGGUGGAUGCCUUGGCAGUCAGAGGCGAUGAAGGACGUAUUAACUUGCGAUAAGCCCAGAUUAGGUAGUAAAAACCAUUUGAGUCUGGGAUUUCCGAAUGGGGAAACCCACUAGCAUAAGCUAGUAUCGCUGCGUGAAUACAUAGCGCAGCGAGGCGAACCGGGGGAACUGAAACAUCUAAGUACCCCGAGGAAAAGAAAUCAACCGAGAUUCCGAAAGUAGCGGCGAGCGAAAUUGGACUAGCCCUUAAGCUUUUUAUGCGUCAGGUGAAACUUCUGGAAAGUUGUGCGAUACAGGGUGAUAGCCCCGUAACCGGCAACGCAUAUAAAGUGAAAUCGAGUAGGGCGGGACACGUGAUAUCCUGUCUGAAUAUGGGGGGACCAUCCUCCAAGGCUAAAUACUACUGACUGACCGAUAGUGAACCAGUACCGUGAGGGAAAGGCGAAAAGAACCCCUGUGAGGGGAGUGAAAUAGAACCUGAAACCGUGUACGUACAAGCAGUAGGAGCACCUUCGUGGUGUGACUGCGUACCUUUUGUAUAAUGGGUCAGCGACUUAUAUUCAGUGGCAAGGUUAACCAUCUAGGGGAGCCGUAGGGAAACCGAGUCUUAACUGGGCGUUCAGUCUCUGGAUAUAGACCCGAAACCAGGUGAUCUAGCCAUGGGCAGGUUGAAGGUUGAGUAACAUCAACUGGAGGACCGAACCGACUAAUGUUGAAAAAUUAGCGGAUGACUUGUGGCUAGGGGUGAAAGGCCAAUCAAACCUGGAGAUAGCUGGUUCUCCCCGAAAGCUAUUUAGGUAGCGCCUCGGACGAAUACUACUGGGGGUAGAGCACUGUUAAGGCUAGGGGGUCAUCCCGACUUACCAACCCUUUGCAAACUCCGAAUACCAGUAAGUACUAUCCGGGAGACACACGGCGGGUGCUAACGUCCGUCGUGGAGAGGGAAACAACCCAGACCGCCAGCUAAGGUCCCAAAUUACUACUAAGUGGGAAACGAUGUGGGAAGGCUCAGACAGCCAGGAUGUUGGCUUAGAAGCAGCCAUCAUUUAAAGAAAGCGUAAUAGCUCACUGGUCGAGUCGGCCUGCGCGGAAGAUGUAACGGGGCUAAGUAGUAAACCGAAGCUGCGGCAAUGCACUUUGUGCAUUGGGUAGGGGAGCGUUCUGUAAGCGGUUGAAGGUGUGUGGUAACGCAUGCUGGACGUAUCAGAAGUGCGAAUGCUGACAUGAGUAACGAUAAAGGGGGUGAAAAACCUCCUCGCCGGAAGACCAAGGGUUCCUGUCCAACGUUAAUCGGGGCAGGGUAAGUCGACCCCUAAGGCGAGGCCGAAAGGCGUAGUCGAUGGGAAACGGGUUAAUAUUCCCGUACUUCUUACAAUUGCGAUGGGGGACGGAGAAGGCUAGGUGGGCCUGGCGACGGUUGUCCAGGUUCAAGUGCGUAGGCUGAGAAAUUAGGUAAAUCCGGUUUCUCUUAAGGCUGAGACACGACGUCGAGCUACUACGGUAGUGAAGUCAUUGAUGCCAUGCUUCCAGGAAAAGCCUCUAAGCUUCAGAUUGUAAGGAAUCGUACCCCAAACCGACACAGGUGGUCGGGUAGAGAAUACCAAGGCGCUUGAGAGAACUCGGGUGAAGGAACUAGGCAAAAUGGUACCGUAACUUCGGGAGAAGGUACGCUCUCGACGGUGAAGUCCCUCGCGGAUGGAGCUAUUGAGAGUCGCAGAUACCAGGUGGCUGCAACUGUUUAUUAAAAACACAGCACUGUGCAAAAUCGUAAGAUGACGUAUACGGUGUGACGCCUGCCCGGUGCCGGAAGGUUAAUUGAUGGGGUUAGACUUCGGUCGAAGCUCUUGAUCGAAGCCCCGGUAAACGGCGGCCGUAACUAUAACGGUCCUAAGGUAGCGAAAUUCCUUGUCGGGUAAGUUCCGACCUGCACGAAUGGCGUAAUGAUGGCCACGCUGUCUCCACCCGAGACUCAGUGAAAUUGAAAUCGCUGUGAAGAUGCAGUGUACCCGCGGCUAGACGGAAAGACCCCGUGAACCUUUACUACAGCUUGGCACUGAACAUUGACCCUACAUGUGUAGGAUAGGUGGGAGGCUUUGAAACUAGUACGCCAGUAUUAGUGGAGCCGUCCUUGAAAUACCACCCUUGUAGUGUUGAUGUUCUAACGUCGACCCUUACCGGGGUUGCGGACAGUGCCUGGUGGGUAGUUUGACUGGGGCGGUCUCCUCCCAAAGCGUAACGGAGGAGCACGAAGGUGGGCUAAUCACGGUUGGACAUCGUGAGGUUAGUGCAAUGGCAUAAGCCCGCUUGACUGCGAGAAUGACAAUUCGAGCAGGUGCGAAAGCAGGUCAUAGUGAUCCGGUGGUUCUGAAUGGAAGGGCCAUCGCUCAACGGAUAAAAGGUACUCCGGGGAUAACAGGCUGAUACCGCCCAAGAGUUCAUAUCGACGGCGGUGUUUGGCACCUCGAUGUCGGCUCAUCACAUCCUGGGGCUGAAGUCGGUCCCAAGGGUAUGGCUGUUCGCCAUUUAAAGUGGUACGCGAGCUGGGUUUAGAACGUCGUGAGACAGUUCGGUCCCUAUCUGCCGUGGGCGUUGGAAGAUUGAAGGGGGCUGCUCCUAGUACGAGAGGACCGGAGUGGACGAACCUCUGGUGUUCGGGUUGUGUCGCCAGACGCAUUGCCCGGUAGCUAAGUUCGGAAUCGAUAACCGCUGAAAGCAUCUAAGCGGGAAGCGAGCCCUGAGAUGAGUCUUCCCUGAUACUUUAAGUAUCCUAAAGGGUUGUUCGAGACUAGAACGUUGAUAGGCAGGGUGUGUAAGCGUUGUGAGGCGUUGAGCUAACCUGUACUAAUUGCCCGUGAGGCUUAACCAUACAACACCCAAGGGGUUU
rnacentral:rRNA from 1 species